rnacentral:lncRNA from 1 species
CUUCAGAGAUAUCUGCUUCUUUCCUUUCACUGUUUAUUAUGCUAAGGCACUUAAACAGUAUCACUAGGUACCUAAAACUAAAGUCUAAAUGACAAGCCUGAAUUUGCUAAGCUAGACUGCAAGCUAGUCCUAGAUUUUCAUGAAAGUAAGUGGAUUAGUAAAGGAAAAGUACUUUGUAUUGGCAGAACCUGGGGAAAAACAUCACUGGGAGCUCACCCAGCCACCGGACAAUGUACAUGGGAAGGAGACUGAAUUUCCAGCUGGAGAUACCAUUUUCUUCUUACCAAAGUCCUUCACACAGAUGCUCUAGCAGAAAAAUAAUGAAUGUAUUGGAAUAACAGAGUGGAAGCUGACAUGGAUAUUGGAGGCAGAAGGCAGCAUGCUUUAAGAAUGUCAAGUGAAGAAUCCCUCACUGAGCAAAGGAGUGCAUGAAAACCAAUCAAGAGCCCUCAGGUCCCCUGCCCCACAGCACAGAGCAUGCACCAUUUCAGAAUACAGGUUGGAAGAUUUGAGGACAAAGAGAUUGGAAUGAAGACACUGCUUGAUGGGAGGAGUGGGUGAGGAAAGCCUGUGAAUGACUUGCUUCUUGGUGAAGAGAAAGUUUAGCUGAGAAUAUGCACUUCUGGGAGAGGAUCCUGCCUCCCCUCUCCAGGCACAACUUUGGUUUUGGAUGGCAGCACACUUGGGUCUCUCACUUGGAAGCUGGGAACUUAAAUGUCAUGCUGGCUCUAAUGCAGAUCAGGGUCUGCCCCGUGACUCUCCCACUGCUGAUUGUCCUACGUAGAGUCUACAACAGACAGGAGGUGCCUCACCACAACUUUGACACCUUGGAUGACAAGAGGCAUUCAAAGAAACUGGGAACCCGAAUUUGCUAAGAAGGGAGAUCUCACAUUGAGCAUGAGCUGCUAUGGUCAUUGAGUGUUGGUGAAAUGAAAGGAAAAGUCUUCUUUAGAAGGAUCUGCUGCCAGUUUGUCUGACGUCUCUUCACAUUCAGUGGGAUAGCAAUGCAUCUGCUGUUAGCAUUUUAUCUGUUUUGGAUCUUAUUUUCCACACUGAUUAAGAGAGUAUAAUGUUGAUAGCUCAGCAUAGCACAGAGUGCCUAAGAACAACCAAACGAAGGUAUAGUAAAAGAAAGAAUAAUGAUUACUCUCUGUCUUCAAUGACUGACGAUGUAAUAUGUGACAAGUAAGCAUGCUGCUGGAUUACUUGGCUGGCAAAUAAAAUGAACUGACUGGCUAAAUAAAAUUGUUAAGAAAAUAGUAAGAAUUGAUGUGAUUUCUCAUCUUUAAUUUCUCUUUUAUUGUACAAGUAUCUUCUUUUGAAAGCGGUACCAUGGCAUAAAUAAUGCCUUGUUUUCCAUUUUAACUAUUUCUGUGUAAUUUUUCUUUCCAUAAUUAAUUGUUUUUGCCCAUUCUCCUUCACAGUGAUUUACUAUUUGAACCCAUUACACUAAUUGUUCAUGUAGGAUGGCACACAGAAAGAGCAUAAACAGACUGGAAUCAAACUUAUGUUAGUUAGGUGUGUAGGUCCAGGCAGAUUGCAUUUUUGCAUGAAUGAAGUCCAGAUAAUUUACAACCAUUUUUUCCAUCAUUUACCACCUAGGCUCGAUAUGUCUGAAGAUGUUACAGCUUCUGUCAGCAAAGCUCUUUACAUUCAGGACUGCUUAAGUCUUGACAAUACAUACAUGUAGAUCCCCCUAAAAUCUUCAUAACAUGACUGACUCACUUUUGUUCCAGACCGCACACUUCAGGAAUAUCAGUGAGACAUUAGGGCCAUGUCUUGUGUUAGGAUUUGAUCAUGAUUCUUAGUCAUUUCAAUCUGGUUUAAAUUUCUCCAGUUUUAUUAAUCUUUGAAAUAAUUCAAGUAAUGCAUCCUCAAGGCAAAGUAUCUACACAAGCUUGUGUAGAGUUUUUGUGACAAGAACGACUGUUUCCAGUUCCAGCAAAAGACUGUCAUGUACCUUAAAAUUCAGCACAAGAUUAGCCAUGCUGACUGGAUCCAGUGCUCACAGAAGUAACAAUAUUACUUACAGGCUUAACACGUAGCAUAUAUUUCAAAACUUUCCAGUGUAUACUCCUAUUGAUCUUUUUAGUAACGAGUAAUAUAUAUUCCCAUCUCAUCUCAUUAUUGUGCUUACUUGUUAUUAAUAUAAGAAUUUAUCAGAUGAAUCUUGAAGUCAAGGAAUUAGUCUCCUCUGACUAAGGCCUUGUAAUGCCUAGCACACCUCCUGCUAUCUGGAAUGAGGAAUGAAAUAAGAGACGGUGCAUGUUCACCAAUGGGUGAAUAUACUUCCACUGAGGUCAAUGCAAAGAAUUUUAAAAUUCCAGCAUCAAAGAAAUCAGGUAAUCUAGCUGAAGCAGUGAGUGUCAUAUUCAGCAGCUGAGAAUUUCACAGCCCUGAAAACAAAAAAGUAUGAAGAAACAGAAAGGUAUUGUUCCUGUGGGUAAUAGCCACUUGCCUUCAAAAUGAUAGAAAUAUUAUUCACAUUACGACAAUGUCAACACUGGUUUUAGAAGACUGGGUUUCCUUAUAUUUCAUUAAUUUGCAAGGUAAGCCCAUUUUGUUUCCUACUGGAAUGCUGGUGAAUUUAGGAGGUUCACAGUAUCUUGUAAAUUAUUUUUUUAAGACAGCAAUACACAGUAUAAAUAAAUAUCUAAAUGGAGACAUAGGGAGAACACAAGUGUUUCUAUAAGAUUUUCAGAGGAGUUUCUGAGUUUAGAAAUGUAAGUAUAUUAUUCUUACAGCCUUCCAUGUUUCUGUUCCAGCCUGGGGUAAACAAAGUAUCUCAUAAAUCACUUUAUUGUUUGUUAAUCAUCACUUACAACUUGAUUCAUUAUUGCAGCAGACUUGUUGUCUGCAAGUUUAAUCUUAAGUACUUAUCAAUUACAUUGCUUGAUCAAGGUCUUCUACAUCACAUAACUAGAAGUUUUUCCAGUUAAACCGUUAGACUUUUUUUUCAUUCUUUUCUGUAUGUAGCUUCUUUUACCAGGCCUUUAGUAGCAGAACAUGUAUUUGUUCACAGUAAAUGAAAAGCAUCUUACACCUUCAUGUUUCAAGCUUUUUACAUGUUAUUUUCUUUUUCUUGUCUCAAAAGUUUGAACUCAAUGUUCAUCUGUUAACUAUUGAAACAAUGUACUAAUUUUACUGUGUGAUGCUUACCAGUGAGUUUGUACCUUUUAACAUUUCUUUUACAACUCUUUCUGUAGUUUAAAUAAAAGAUAACAUAGUCAGAAAAUAAUUCACAUUUCUAGUAUGAUUUUAAAACAUAUCAAAAUAGUAGACUCAAGAUUCUGAGAGCUGACUGCAACUCAGUAGAAACUGUACUCUGUAAUAUUUUGACCUAAAAAAACAAGCUGAUUGGUUUUCAGUUGGUAUCAAAAUAUAUCCGUAUGUCCUACAUCAUUAAACUAACCUUGUACUAUACACAGCAAUCCAGAAUUUAAUUCUUAGCUGUUGAAAGAAAAAAAGUAAUAAAAUCAAAUAACACACAUUAGAAACAGACAUAUUUUUAACGAUCAUGACAAUCAUCACAUUUCUGUAUUUGUUAUCAGAGCAAAUUUAAUACUUAAAAACCUGCUUGUAUAUUCAGAUUUUGAAAGCAUCUACUGUUCAUAAGAAUGCAUUUGUUUAUACCUGUCACACAAAAUAUUUUCGGAAAACAAAACUUAUUAGCAUAAUGAGUUGAAUGGUUGAAUAUGUCAUCUUGAUAACUUAUUUACUGAUUUUCAGCAUAUUUCUUUCAGAAAAGAAACUCGCUACUCAGCAAGUUGUCCAACUAUAAUUACAGUUCAACAGAUCUUUACAGAAUUGGAGAGAAAUUUAACAAUUAAAAAAAAAAAAAAAAAAAAAGGAGAGAAAGUUGUUUGGACCGAGUUUUUUCUUUUUUUUUUUUUUUUUUGUGUAUGUAAGUGCUAAAAGAAUGUGGCAUGGUAGCUUUUGGGGAAAAAAAAAAAAAAAAAAGGAGAGAGAAAUUUCUAGAAUCUUUUAACAAGCUAUUUCUAAAAGGUUACUAUUACCAGCUAAAUUCAGUGCAUGAGUCUACGCGAUCAAAUGCCUAUAUUAAAAUCCGUUUACUUCUGUAUCAAUAUAUCACCAGUUACAGCCCUGAUUCAGGUAAACAAUACUUGAUACACCAGGAAAAUUAAGAACAUGCUGCAUUUAAAUGCAUUCAAAAGUUGGAUGAAUCGGGCUUUGAUCACUACGAUUGUUCAUCUUGUUUAUAUCUGGCUUCUCUACUCUUUGGAGGGUAACAAACGUAUUACUAAAGUAACUAGGAGCUGUUUCUUAGGAAACUCAUCCUUUUUAGAAACAGAGCGUCUGCUAUUGUAAUACCUUUUAAAAACUGUAUUUCUACAUUCUGCACCCUUAAAAAGGGGUGCAAUUGAUCACACUGAAAUAAUGACAGAUAUUGAACUUCACUGUGUUCUUAAAAUAUAAGAUGACCCAUAAAAAAGUUACUGUUUUUCAAAACAUUACACACAUUUCAGAAUAGAACAGAAAAUUAUGUUCUUAAAAUUCUCUAUGGCAUUUAAGAGUUGUGUCCUCAUUUUCCAAAUAGGUUAAAAAGCAAAUAAAAUCUUUAAAAAAAAGGAAAAAACAAAUGUUAAAAAUCACCACUUUAUGUGCAAGAAUGAGGCAUACUUCAUAGACAAUGUGAAAAAUCUUGUUUAAAAAUUAUAGUAAACAAUCAAAUAUUCUUCAGUGCACAUAAUUAGUAUGUACAUUAUAAUUUAAAACUGAGUAUUGAUGACUGCUGCUCAUGAUCUUUAAAAUCUCUUACAAAAUAUAAAUAGGACAGCCAAGAGAGGAUAGCUGAUAAACCAUGACAUAAGGUUUUCUCUUCCUUCUUUUCUUUUCUUAUUCCUUUCCUCUCCACUUGGACUAAAGAUCCUUCUGGCUUCUUCUAAAAAGUGCACACGUACGUGCACACACA